UACGGGGGGGCAAGCGUUGUUCGGAAUUACUGGGCGUAAAGGGCUCGUAGGUUGCCAACUAAGUCAGACGUGAAAUCCCUCGGCUUAACCGGGGAACUGCGUCUGAUACUGGAUGGCUUGAGUUCGGGAGAGGGAUGCGGAAUUCCAGGUGUAGCGGUGAAAUGCGUAGAUAUCUGGAGGAACACCGGUGGCGAAGGCGGCAUCCUGGACCGACACUGACACUGAGGAGCGAAAGCCAGGGGAGCAAACGGG
rnacentral:rRNA from 1 species